rnacentral:rRNA from 1 species
AGAGCGAACGCUGGCGGCAGGCUUAACACAUGCAAGUCGAGCGGGCGUAGCAAUACGUCAGCGGCAGACGGGUGAGUAACGCGUGGGAACAUACCUUUUGGUUCGGAACAACACAGGGAAACUUGUGCUAAUACCGGAUAAGCCCUUACGGGGAAAGAUUUAUCGCCGAAAGAUUGGCCCGCGUCUGAUUAGCUAGUUGGUGGGGUAACGGCCCACCAAGGCGACGAUCAGUAGCUGGUCUGAGAGGAUGAUCAGCCACAUUGGGACUGAGACACGGCCCAAACUCCUACGGGAGGCAGCAGUGGGGAAUAUUGGACAAUGGGCGAAAGCCUGAUCCAGCCAUGCCGCGUGAGUGAUGAAGGCCCUAGGGUUGUAAAGCUCUUUUGUGCGGGAAGAUAAUGACGGUACCGCAAGAAUAAGCCCCGGCUAACUUCGUGCCAGCAGCCGC